GUACUUGCUUUGGUAGCACAUACACUAAAAUUGGAAGGAUACUGAGAAGAUUAACAUGACCCCUGUGUAAGGAUGACAUGCAAGUUAGAACCCCUUGUUA
ensembl:snRNA U6 U6 spliceosomal RNA